GAUGAACGCUAGCGGCGUGCCUAAUACAUGCAAGUCGAGCGAACAGACGAGGAGCUUGCUCCUCUGACGUUAGCGGCGGACGUGUGAGUAACACGUGGAUAACCUACCUAUAAGACUGGGAUAACUUCGGGAAACCAGUGCUAAUACCGGAAAAUAUAUUGAACCGCAUGGUUCAAUAGUUUAAGACGGUUUUGCUAUCCCUUAUAGAUGGUUCCGGGUCGCAUUAGCUAGUUGGUAAGGUAACGGCUUACCAAGGCAACGAUGCGUAGCCGACCUGCGAGGGGGAUCGGCCACACUGGAACUGAGCCACGGUCCAGACUCCUACGGGAGGCAGCAGUAGGGAAUCUUCCGUAAUGGGCGAAAUCCUGACGGAGCAACGCCGCGUGAGUGAUGAAGGGCUUCGGAUCGUAAAACUCUGUUAUUAGGGAAGAACAAAUGUGUAAGUAACUAUGCACGUCUUGACGGUACCUAAUCAGAAAGCCACGGCUAACUACGUG
rnacentral:rRNA from 1 species